rnacentral:rRNA from 1 species
GAUGAACGCUGGCGGCGUGCCUAAUACAUGCAAGUCGAGCGAACGGACGCUAAGCUUGCUUCUCUGAUGUUAGCGGCGGACGUGUGUGUAACACGUGUAUAACCUACCUAUAUGACUGGUAUAACUUCGGGAAACCGGCGCUAAUACCGGAUAAUAUUUUGAACCGCAUUGUUCAAAAGUGAAAGACGGUCUUGCUGUCUCUUAUCGAUGCAUCUGCGCUGCAUUAGCUAGUUGUUAAGGUAACGGCUUAUCAAGGCAACGAUGCAUAGCCGACGUGAGGGGGUGAUAGCCGACAUUAGAGGUGAAACGGGGUCAUGGGGACUAAGGGAGGCAGCAGUAGGGAAUGGUACGCAGUAGGCGAAAGCAUGACGGAGCAACGGCGCGUGAGAGAUGAAGGUGUUGGGAUCGUAAAACUCUGUUAUUAGGGAAGAACAGAUGUGUAAGGAGAUGAACACAGCUUGACGGUAACUAAUCAGAAAGCAACGGCUAACUACGUG